UAAAAGUUGGAAAUAAUUUGCAAUAUCUUUAGUUCACAAAAAUGAUUAAAAAAAGUUUACUCAAUCAUUUUAAAAGCCAAUAUAAUAUUGUCACAAAAAUCAAUUUUCUGUCUUCUAAUUUUCAAUUAAAAAUUUUCUUUCUAUUCCCAUUUCCUCCAGCUAAAGGGAAAGUGUGCUAGAGCAUUGCACAUCUUGAAAGUCAUCUCCUCUCUGUCCUGGGAAAUAGAUUGAUGAUCAGUUAUGCCUAUAUAUAUUAGUUGAUGAUCCAAUCAAAGCUGGACUAUGGAUUUCUGAUUUAUGGUUCUGCAAGAGAACUCACUUUGCAGAUGUUACACCCCUAUUCAUCAUAAAGUACUUUUUGUACUAGAUUAUUUCUCAUAUCACUUGUCCGAGGUCAAUAUGUAGAGUCAUUUGAGCCUUCACUUUCCAUUUGGAGAAAACAGUUGUCUUUUCACUAAAUUGAAGUCUCUUACAAACAACCUGACAUGGCAUAAUGUAUCCCAUUUUAUCAGAAAUAUCCGGUAGUAUCCUAUAUCUCCUGAUAUUUGGGUGUUUUAGCCUUCAUUGUCUUCUGGAGAAUUCCACUCUAGACUGUAUGUUCCAUCUGCUCUUGGCAGAUUACCAUCAUUUAAAUAUAGAUAUUCUCUCAAUCUUUAUGGAUGGUUUUAAAUCUAUUGGUCAUAUGGGAUUUGUUUUUGUUUGUGAUGACAGUCUAUUCUGAACAGAUAUCCCUAUUGACAGUUUGUUCACUACAAAGAUAUAUGUUACAGCUUCCCUGAGAUAUAUCAGAAAAAAGGCCAUCAUCACAUCAUUAUCUAUUCUGACUCACUCAGUGCACUGCAUUCUUUGAUCUUAUGGAAAUUUCUCUCACAUCCAAUAUUGAUUAAGAUUUGAAAGCUUCUCUCUUUUUUAUCCAAAAAGGGGAUAUACUAUCAAGUUUUGUUGGGAUCCAGAACACUGAUAUUAUGGAAAAUAAACUAGUUGGCAUGGCAUUGUUGCUAAGUCAGCUAUCUCUUACCACUUCCAACUUUUACCAGUUCCUCAUUGAAUUAUGCCUAAUUUAAUAAAAUUAAGUUAUAAAACCUGAUUCAAUUAUGGCAACAUAUGUGGGAUGAACAAAUUUAUAACAAGCUUCAUGAAUUCAAAUCAGUAGUUGAGCAUUGGGAUUCCAGUCAUCAUUGCAAGGCUUCAUAUUGGGCAUAACCAACUUACCCAUGGGUAUCUUUUUAAGUGAUGAAGACUGGCCUAUUUGUGAUCAGUGUAAUUAUGCCCUUACAAUUAAUUGCAUUUUAACUGAAUGCCUGUAUUUUAUUGCCAAAUGUUUACAUCAUUUUAAAGUGUCUCAUCUUAAUCUUGAAAUCUUUAUUGGCAGUGAUUUAAACUGCUUUAUCCUUUUUGCCUUUUUAUCAGAUAUUUAGCUUUUGUUUUAUUAUAUUGUUACUUGUUCAAUUCCUA
rnacentral:lncRNA from 1 species